AUUGAACGCUGGCGGCAUGCCUUACACGUGCAAGUCGAACGGUAACAGGUCUUCGGAUGCUGACGAGUGGCGAACGGGUGAGUAAUACAUCGGAACGUGCCUAGUAGUGGGGGAUAACUACUCGAAAGAGUGGCUAAUACCGCAUGAGAUCUACGGAUGAAAGCAGGGGAUCGCAAGACCUUGUGCUACUAGAGCGGCCGAUGGCAGAUUAGGUAGUUGGUGGGAUAAAAGCUUACCAAGCCGACGAUCUGUAGCUGGUCUGAGAGGACGAUCGGCCAAACUGGGACUGAGACACGGCCCAGACUCCUACGGGAGGCAGCAGUGGGGAAUUUUGGACAAUGGGCGCAAGCCUGAUCCAGCAAUGCCGCGUGCAGGAUGAAGGCCUUCGGGUUGUAAACUGCUUUUGUACGGAACGAAAAGCCCUGGGUUAAUACCCUGGGGUCAUGACGGUACCGUAAGAAUAAGCACCGGCUAACUACGUGCCAGCCGCCGCGGUAACAC
rnacentral:rRNA from 1 species